CAGCACCAGUUCAAUAUUUGUUGCUGCUACAAACAGCACAAGCAAUCUAUUGUGCAAUUGUGAGUCAUCGAACGGAUGGAAAAUAGCAGCUGCACUGGGUUGGACAUUCUCUGCAAUACUGCUAUGUGUUUGCAUUACCCUUAUGUGGUUUCAUUAUGGCAAGAACAAACAUAAGGCCACCAUCCCACAUCUCAAUCGUACAUCCAGAGAGAAUGAUGAAACUGUGGUGACCCGCAACCCAGCCUACAGUGCUGUAGCAAUGUGGCAAGACAGAUCAAUUGAAACAACUG